GACGAACGCAGGCGGCGUGCUUAACACAUGCAAGUCGAACGGUGAAGCGCCUUCCUUUUUGGUGGGUGUGGAUGAGUGGCGAACGGGUGAGUAACACGUGAGUAACCUGCCCCCUUCUUCUGGAUAACCGCAUGAAAGUGUGGCUAAUACGGGAUAUUCUGGGUCUGUCGCAUGAUGGGUCUGGGAAAGAUAUUGUUUCGGUGGGGGAUGGGCUCGCGGCCUAUCAGCUUGUUGGUGGGGUGAUGGCCUACCAAGGCGGUGACGGGUAGCCGGCCUGAGAGGGUGGACGGUCACACUGGGACUGAGACACGGCCCAGACUCCUACGGGAGGCAGCAGUGGGGAAUAUUGCACAAUGGGCGCAAGCCUGAUGCAGCGACGCCGCGUGAGGGAUGGAGGCCUUCGAGUUGUGAACCUCUUUCGCCAGUGAAGCAGGCCUGCCUCGUUUGUGGGUGGGUUGACGGUAGCUGGAUAAGAAGCGCCGGCUAACUACGUG
rnacentral:rRNA from 1 species